GACGAACGCUGGCGGCGUGCUUAACACAUGCAAGUCGAACGGAAAGGCCCUGCUUUUGUGGGGUGCUCGAGUGGCGAACGGGUGAGUAACACGUGAGUAACCUGCCCUUGACUUUGGGAUAACUUCAGGAAACUGGGGCUAAUACCGGAUAGGAGCUCCUGCUGCAUGGUGGGGGUUGGAAAGUUUCGGCGGUUGGGGAUGGACUCGCGGCUUAUCAGCUUGUUGGUGGGGGAGUGGAUUACCAAGGCUUUGACGGGUCGGCGGCCUGAGAGGGUGACCGGCCACAUUGGGACUAAGAUACGGCCCAGACUCCUACGGGAGGCAGCAGUGGGGAAUAUUGCACAAUGGGCGGAAGCCUGAUGCAGCAACGCCGCGUGCGUGAUGACGGCCUUCGGGUUGUAAACCGCUUUCGCCUGUGACGAAGCGUGAGUGACGGUAAUGGGUAAAGAAGCACCGGCUAACUACGUG
rnacentral:rRNA from 1 species